rnacentral:lncRNA from 1 species
GCACAUUACCUCAUUUAGUUAAGGAAGUGUUGGACAAGAGAUUUUAGCACAUUAUAUUACAAAGUUUUACUUUGCUUACUGCAAAAGCUAGAGGAGAUGCACUUUCAAUCUAAUUCUCUAAAUAAAAUCUAUGCUAUUUGCUCCUAGGUUGAACGGAAGCUUGUAAUAUGAUUCCUUGGAGAUUCAUCCAGAAUGUGUACCUGCACACCAACAUGUUUUGAUCACUGCCAACAUGAAGCUAGUGAAGUACAAAAGCUAGAACUUCAAAACAAUGUCCAAUUCUAAUUCGUUGAAGUUUCUUCUUACAGACUGGGUAAGUUUGGCCUAUACUUCUAUGGUUUCCAUAAAAAAGUAUUACCAAAGAAAAGCAUAGCUUCCUAUUACAAAGUUAGGAAAUGGUCUAGACAUAUUCGUAAUAAACAUAAUGCUCUAUUUCAUAUGACUAUUAUAUGAUCGUUUUUCUUGAUUAGCAUGUUUAAUUCUUAUGUAUAUAGUCACUUGAUUCUUAGCAACUGUUGUUUAAAUACUUCAAUUUCGUUGUUAUUUUAUAUUUGCAAGCUAAGAUUUAUUAAUCCUCAUAUAGCUUUAAUUUUCAGAUUUUGAGAUAUCGUUUUAUCGACAAUUCUUAAACAAUAAACGAAACAGACCUUUGUUUAAGUUUUUUAUUGAGUUCUCGUCUAUAAUGAAAAACUUUAGAAGUUAUUUGCUUAUUCUGUUUUAUACUUUAAUUAUAGAGAUUUUGAUUUAGGCUUGAAAGAGUACAUGAAUUUAAGUUAGAUCAAAGAAAGGGAACAAAUAGCAUGUACUAUCGAGAGUUUCUGUCACGUUAAGAUAAUUCAAUAGAUCAAAAAUUGAAUUUUCCGUUCUCUCAAUUCUUGCUACACAUGCAUUGAUCAUAUGAAAAUUUUUAUCCAUAAUUCUAGUAGAUUGAAGUUAUAUAUUUACUGUGGGCGGAGCCGGUCCUUCGGUUCGGCCGAACCCAUUAACUUUAGUUCAAAUCUUAUAUUUAUCUUAAUAAAUUUAUUAAAUAUGUUCAAAUUAUUAAUUUAGAAUACAGUAACUAACUUGAAAGAAUUAAAAUUUAAACCCAUAAUUUUUAACUCCAUUUGAAGAUGGUGGGAUAUUAUGUAUUCUUCUUUCCCUUGUUAUUGAUUUUUUUUAUUGUGGGUCCUUUUCCAUAAAAUGAUGGCUUAAUAGCCGCAACCAGAUAAAUUAGACUUUGAUUUGUGGAGAACAUAAUGUUCUGAUGAAUUUUUGAAUUCCCAUAUGUCUUAUUGUUACAUCUUCUAUUCAUGGAUCUUAGAAAAAUACGUAAGUUGAAAAAAAGUAUAUUUCAUGAUAUUAAAAAGAGGUAUAAUGGUCUUAUGACGUUUCGAGAAGUUUUAUUAAUGUACUUCUUAUAUAUUGCAUUCACAUGUGCAUUUACCCAUGACUCAGAUGGCGUUAUAUACGCGUAUAUAUAUGUAUAUGGGAUAUGGGAAAAGGUUACGACGUUAUAUACGCACCACCACCUGAUCAGUUGGUAUAUGUUGAUGAUUUUCCCACAGUGACCGAGAUGAUAUGAUGGGAUUCCGUCAGAGGCGUGA